UCUUGGAUUCCAGAUGUGUGGGCAAAAUUAACAUGCACUGCCAUUCGGAGAAGUACCCGCCCCUUGAAAGAAAAAAAAAAUUUUUUUUUAAGCCCUCUAAAUAUUCAUUACUCUAUUGUCUCCUCUGAAGCCACAUAAGCCCUAGCCUUUCUUCCCUUUUCGAGUCAGUCUUUUGGAGAGGCUUAGAUCUUCGCAGACUCCUUUUGCUUGACUCAGCCAAAAUAAAGCUUGCUGAAGAUAAAGUUUGCUUUUUGCAUGUAUUCUGACCCUUUGUGUCAGAUUGGCAAUUGGUAACACUCCUAACAAGCAGCCGCUGGGGAUUCUGUUUGUGACCAGAAGUUGUCCCCGGGCCCGAGCUCCCUUGCAGUGCCACUGGUCCCCAACCGUGCCAAAGAGGUGAAUCUUAUGUGUGACCGGGGCUGUCUGGGAGAGUGAGGCUGCCAAGAUGACCUCCAUAUCCUGGCUGAGAUGUUGAGACUGCAAGAUUAUCUCCGACGUCUCUGUGUCUUAUGUAUAAUUUAUGUGUGAUGCAUAGAAAGUAAUUGGUAGGAAAAAAAAAUUUUACAGCCCUGAAAAAUGCCAGGCAGCUUUCCUAACUGCUGCCUUGCAGGCUAAAGAGCGUUCCCCAAAAGAACAAGAAAAGGAAGACCAAGCCACAGGAGCAGAGAAAGCCCCACACCCCUUUGGAAAGAGACCAGUGCAGCUGGUAUACAGGAAAAAAAAAAAAGAUAAUUUUGUCUUAAAAGAAAAGCAGCAGUUUUAGAACAGCAAAAGAGACAAAUUGUUAUCUUUUGCCUUUCAAAAUGCCUAGGUGCACUUAAACAUAUAUAAAUGAAUUGGGAUGACUCCCUCAGGCCCCCAGUCUCUCUAAGAAUUGAUGGAUUCAUUCACAAAAUUGCUAAAGAGCUUUGGUACUUACUGGGUAAAUAGCCUUUCAAAAUGCCCCCAUCAAUUUAAACAUAUGUAAAUAACCUAAUCUUGUCCUCUACCUACAGUUAAAAGGCAGGUAGGGCGGGGCAAAAUCAGGCCUUCUCGGCCCCCAGCCCUAGUCUCCAGGGAGUAUAGCUCCAAGGAACCUUUUGAAAGACUCUUCAGCUAGGUGUGGACCCUUUUAAGACAAAAGAUAAAGAGAAUUGCUGUUUUAGUAUGGUUAUCAGAAACUGGGUGGAUCCCAAUCACAAAAAAAGAAGAGAAAUUACUUGAUAAUGGUCAAAAGUUUUAUCUGUCUGAGUAAAGUUUAAUGGUUUAAUUUAUGAGAUUUUAAAGAGCUUUCACUGAGUUAAAGAAUUAACCUCUUUGGCUUCAAAGACAAAGGUUCCAUCUGUCGUGAGAAUAAGAUUAUUGAGUCAGAAACCAAGCCACAUGGCUUUAGGGAAAAAGAAAAAAACUAAGGUUUUUAUUUUAAUAUCUUUGGUUAAAUAACAAUUGUUUCUUGAUAACUUGUAGGGGGAAAAACAUCUCAAAGUUUAGUAAAGCAAAAAUAAAGUGUUAUUCAGCGUAUAUUCAAAAAGACAAAAGUUGAGAAGCGGACAAACAUGUUGCCAGAGCUAUGUCUGCCCGAGUCCAAAGAGUAUUACAGAACCGACAAAAGUGGGGAAAUGGACAAGCAUGUUGCCACAGCCAUGUCUGCCCUAGUCCAAGGUACAUUACAGAAUAAACAAGAAUGGGAAAAUGGACAAGCAUGCUGCCAGACAUGUCUGUCUGAGUCCAGAGAAUAUUACAUAAUAAACGAGAAUGGGAAAACCGACAAGUAUGCUGCCACAGCCACGUCUAGUCCGAGUCCAAGGAAGGUUGCAGAAUCAUGGGUAUAUAUUAACAUUACAAAUGGGCAAAGCCAUUUGAAAGCUUCGCUUUUUCAAAGAUUGGCUAUAAACUGUCACCAUACAUUUUGAAUUGUCUUUCCUAAAGAUCAUUGGUACAGGUUUCAGUAAUGAGUCAGGAGGGUCUUCACUGGUCCAACAAAUUUCUAUUCACUAAAUGUUAAUAGAAAAGAUAAGAGUGGAAAGUCUUUUGUGUUCUGGCUUCUGUGAAAGUUUCCCUAAAAGAUAUUUUCCAAGAUUAUUCUAUUGUCUUUAUACCUCCGGGCCCAGCUGCUGUGUCCUUGUGAGUCCAGCUGGAUCACAUUCUGUAUGCUCAAGGAUAGGGUAUAAUAACUGCAGUACUAUUUCCUAAAUCACUUGUGAUAAACUUCUGACAAGUUUGAAAAGCAAGAAAAUUUUUUAUAAAAGAAAGUGCUAAAAAAAAAGGUUUAUUUAACAUGGUGUAAAUUACCUGGAACAUGUUGUUAAAAUCAAGAGAAGUGCCUGAUUCUCUCUGGGUUAAAAUUUCUAUGUUAGUAUUCCCUCUUGUGUUUUGCCUCACAUUACACAGCAAAUGAUUGCUGACAUGGUUGAAACUUUAUUUUUAGAAUCUAGCAACAUCAAAGCCAAUGGAUUAGUUGAAGAAUUACUAUUCAGGUAUAUAGAGGCUUGAUAAUCUUAGAAUGUUCUUGAUAUAUCCUGACUACAUGGCAUUAUAGCUCAAGAUUAUUAUGUGUUACAUCUGAAGUUCUUUAAAAAUAUGGUUAAUGGUUAUUAUUGAAAAUAUUUUCAUCUAAAGUUUUUUUUUUUUAACUGAUUUUAUUGGCCUUUGCGUUGUAAUUGAUUUCUAUCAGGUCUUUCAUCGUUAAGAAUUAUGUUUAUAAUUAAUCAUGACCAUAUUAAGUUUUGUCAUCUACAGAUAAGUUUUUACUUUACUGAUUUCCUGAAAACAUUUGACCAGAAUAUCUCAACAAAAAAGAUGGACUAUGUUGGACUUAUGAAAAAGACUGUGACUAGACUCAAUCAAGAUUUCCAGAACUCCCAUGCAAAAGUUGAUGGUUUCACAAACUGCAGUCAAUCCAGAAUCGCUUGGAACAAAAAUUAACUACAUAAGACUGAGUAAACGAAAAGAUACUAUGGGUUUUAUGUAAAAAUAUUGUUGAUGUUUUAAAAUCUUUCUUUCUGAAAAUAAGGAAUGCUUAACCAUUUUCCUUCUGCUACCAGAUUAAGGUCUGUGCCCUGGAACAGUCGAGCAAUGAAAGGUACUCUAAGUCAGAAAGAGCGAGAAAGUUUUUUAAGAGAUGUGUAUAUCACCCGAGACCUGGCAGAGAUGUGAACUGUCUCUGUAGAGUCUCAGGGAGCAAUUUUACAUUAGAGCUUGUGUGGGGUUUUAUAGGUGUUAAAAGUGUCUUUGUAGCCCACAGAUGGCUGAAAGAGUUUUUCAUUACAGAAUGGUGAUAAAAGACUCUGUCGACUGAAGAGACAUGGGCCAGAACAUCUCUUUAUAGGGCUAAAGACAAGCAUAUCAGACACCUGGGCUCUAAUAUCCAUGUGGGGGGUUGUAAGUCACAGGUAGAUAGAGCAAAAUAAAGUUGUUUACAUCAAAUUAAAAUGAAGAACAAAGUCAUUAACAGAGAUAUGUGAAAGAAAAGACAGGAAAAAAAAGAUAGAAAAACUUAACAUGUUUAUCAUGGCCAUAGUUAUGUCAACCUCAGUCGCUCAUUUUGAAAAAGAGAAAACAUACUGGAGAGUAUUAGAGACACACCCCCUUUUUCUAAAUUAUCUAACUGGUGGGUUUAAAUAUUAUAACUCUUGAAUUAAAAGUUCCUGUUGAUAAAGUUAUAAAUUUCAUAACCAAAAAAGUAUCUGAAAUUUGAGCUAUGAUUAUACAAAUUAGAAAAACAUUAGAUUUCGUAUUAGUUCUCUGGAAACAGUUCUGCGCCUUAAUAGAUAAAUGUUACAGUCUUAGGUUUAGCAGAAUGUAGUUGUGGCUGAGGCACAUGAAGAACAGUUACUGACGCUGUUUAUGCACAAGCGAACAUCUCAGAAGAUUUGUUUCCUUGGUUCAGAGAUCUUAGGGUCAUGGUUUCGUUGGUUAUAUCAGACAAUUAGCCUACUGCUAUUGUUAGUGUUUCUAUUUUAUCUUCUGAUUUGCUCUGUGAUGCCUGAGAUCUUAAAAAACCAGAUAGUACCCAAUUACCAUUUACUGAACAUUUUUGAUCAAAAGAUUCUAUAACAAAGAUCAUAAUCCAAAAGAGGGAACCAUAAAAGAGUUAUAAUUCUCCUAGAAUCCAGAUUUCUGGCUUUCAUAGAGGGUGGGACAACCCACAAAGGCCAUUGCCUUUGGGUGUCUUUUUGAACCUUGAGCUUUAAAGAAAAACUGGUUCCUAAAGCCACUUUGAGACAGUUGUCCAGAUAAACUAACAAGACCAUUUUGCUCUGGGCAUUGUGCUUUUUUUUUUUUUGAAGAAUUCAAUCUAUUUUGAGAAACUGACUCCAAAGAUUAGACUGAGAGUUACGUUUAGGGUAAGUCAGUAAUCAGUUUAAUCAGUCCUCUAGACAACGUUGUAUAAAAUACCUGUCUAAUGUUUGCAAUCAAACUGUCACCCUCUUGCUAUGCAGAAAAUUAGGUAUCUAAAAGAAACCAGGCUCUCGGAAGAGAUCGACCUCAUGGCUCAGACUCCAUUCUGUCUUAGGUUUCACUUCUGUUCUAAAAAAGUGACCCAUGACUGUCAAUAGGUAAACCAAGGAGGGGCAGCUUGCCCUUGAGAAGAACACUUAGUAGUACGUUUUAAGCAAAUUAACUAGAAACUUCCACCAAGAAAAGUCUAUCUUGUAUUAUCUUGCUAAUCACUUAUUCUUUAAUAGAAACUUGUUUGUCACAUGUAAAUUUUCUAUACCUUCUGUUUUCUCUAGACAAACUUCUUGAGCUUUAUAAAUAUGUUUUUAUGUGGUAGACCGAACUAUACUAAUUUAAAUGAUUCCUUUCUAACUAAUGGUGAAUUUACAUGGACAAUCUCUUGUUUAGAUUCCUGGCAAAUGAGUGGGCAAUGCACUUUGAGAGCUUUAGGAUUAUCUUUAGAUAUUCAUAGUAAAUACUAGAAAGGUAAUGUUAAUUUGUUAUCCAAGAAAGCCCAUUCGUCCGACACUCAGGGUAUGGUUUGGUAACUUUAAUUCCUACUUAUGGUAUAUUUGAAUUGCAGGAAUCUUUAAGAAAUGUAUCAAUCACUAUGGGACAAAUAGCAAAGUUGCUAGUGGGAUGGAAACACAGUGAUUUCUGACCUCAUUUAGCCAAGGUGACGUGAGAUAACAAAAUAGCCUUAAAUUUUUAUAUAUUGGUCCAAGAAAAUGUGAUAGGUGCUGUGGCAAAUACCUGUUGUUACAUUUAGAUGAAUAACACAAGAGAAGAACAGGAUAUACAAAUAGAAUUAGACAGCAAGUUACUUGGUACACACUACAACACCCUUACAAACACCAGAUUGAUCUGCACUACUACAAGUAAUAUUCUCAGCCUACAUCCUGAUAGUAUUUAAAAAAAAUUUUUUUUUAAUUUUUAUUUUAUUUAUUUAUUUAUUUUUAGGCAUAAUAAAACUUCUAUUGUCUUACACACCUAAAAGACAAAAGAAGGUCUCGGGCUAAAAUGUUGAUGUACAUUGAGUUUGCUCACUUGGGCAAUGCGAUUGAUGAGAACAUUGCUCUUAAGAUCCUGGUGAAGAACCAGAUGGUAUCUGGUGGAAAACCAGCACCGUGAGUUUAAAUAACCUGCCAUGGUCGCCAUCUAGGAACUCAACGAAGUCCAGGCUCCACAUGCGCGGAAGAACAAAGAGUGACCACUGUUUAACCUUCCAUAGCCCUCCGAAGAUGGUGAUGUAGUGCCAAAGAUCAGUGCACUUGCACUAUAUCUCAUAAUAAGUGAUGCCAAGGGCUGCUGAGAGGACUGUCUUGAAUAUCAGCAGAUUUCCUCUUGGAUUCCACAUGCGAGGGCAACCUAAUUAACAUGCACUGCCGUUCUGAGAAGUACCCCCCACUUGAAAGAAGCCCACUAAAUAUUCACUACUCUGUUGUCUCCACCGAACCCACAUAAGCCCUAGCCUUUCUUCCCUUUUCCAGUAAGUCUUUUGGAGAGGCUUAGAUCCUCGCUGACUCCUUUUGCUUGACUCAAGCAAAAUAAAGCUUGUUGAAGAUAAAGUUUGUCUUUUGCAUGUAUUCUUAUUCGGGAAAAGACAAGGACCCUUUCUGUCAGUUUGGCAAUUGGUAACACAAUUAACUGUUCCCAAGAACCUAGCUUUUUAUUUUUAUGGGUAGUUGAUAUCAUCAGCUUUUUCUUUUAGUCCAAUAGGGAUUUAUUUGUCUCAGGCACUGCAGCCAAGAUUUUUCUCAGCCCUGGGAGAGAACUUCUUUUUAAAAUCUUAACACCCUGCCCAGAGUGUUCUCUGUAUUGUGAUUCAAAUCCCAGUCUAGACUGAAAAUCUGUUCUCCCCAUGCAUCUCUCUUUUUUUUUUCCAGCCCAAUCAAUAAAUCCUCAGGAGUCUCUAUAAAUAUGUUUUAAUUCACCUUGAAAAAAUUUUUUUCAACAAUUACUUUCUGUGCAUUACACAUAAGACACAGACAGAGGCGAUAGAUAU